AGGGUUUGAUCCUGGCUCAGAACGAACGUUGGCGGCGUGGAUUAGGCAUGCAAGUCGAGCGGAAAGGCCCCCUUCGGGGGGUACUCGAGCGGCGCAAGGGUGAGGAAUGUACGGGUAACCUACCCUCGGAACAGGGACAACUCCGGGAAACUGGGGCUAAUACCGGAUAAGCUCACGAUGCUUGCGGGCGAUGUGAGAAAAGGUGGGGAUCGCAAGACCUGCCGUCCGGGGAGGGGCUCGUAUCUUAUUAGCUUGUUGGUGGGGUAAAGGCCUACCAAGGCUGAGAUGGGUAGCUGGACUGAGAGGUUGACCAGCCACACUGGGACUGAGACACUGCCCAGACUCCUUCGGGAGGCUGCAGUCGAGGAUCAUUGGCAAUGGGCGAAAGCCUGACCAUGCGACGCCGCGUGGAGGAAGAAGGCCUUCGGGUUGUAAACUCCUGUCACCGGUUAGAAAAGAGUGCGGGUUAAUACCCCGCGCUUUGAUAAAGGCCGGAGAGGAAGUCACGGCUAACUCCGUGCCAGCAGCCGCGGUAAGUCGGAGGUGGCGAACGUUGUUCGGAAUUACUGGGCGUAAAGCGCUCGUAGGCGGUCUUUCAAGUCAGGUGUUAAAUCCCCCGGCUUAACCGGGGAACCGCGCUUGAUACUGUUGGACUCGAGUUCCGGAGGGGUGUGUGGAACUCCCGGUGGAGCGGUGAAAUGCGUAGAGAUCGGGAGGAACGCCGGAGGCGAAAGCGACACACUGGACGGACACUGACGCUGAGAGGCGAAAGCUAGGGGAGCAAACAGGAUUAGAUACCCUGGUAGUCCUAGCCGUAAACGAUGGGCACUAGGUGGGAGGAGUUCCGAUGCUUUUCCUGCCGUAGCUAACGCGUUAAGUGCCCCGCCUGGGGAGUACGGCCGCAAGGCUAAAACUCAAAGGAAUUGACGGGGGCCCACACAAGCGGUGGAGUAUGUUCUUUAAUUCGAAUCAACGCGAAGAACCUUACCCGGGUUUGACAUGCCGGUGGUAAGAAUCCGAAAGGAGGAUGACCCCCUUCGGGGGGAGCCGGCACAGGUGUUGCAUGGCUGUCGUCAGCUCGUGUCGUGAGAUGUUAGGUUAAGUCCUGUAACGAGCGAAACCCUUGUCGUUAGUUGCCAGCGGGUAAUGCCGGGGACUCUAACGAGACUGCCGCGUUUAAGCAGGAGGAAGGCGGGGAUGACGUCAAGUCAUCAUGGCCCUUAUGCCCGGGGCGAGAAACGUACUACAAUGGCCGGUACAAAGGGCAGCAAGACCGUAAGGUGGAGCAAAUCUCUAAAAGCCGGUCUAAGUCCGGAUCGAGGGCUGCAACUCGCCCUCGUGAAGUUGGAAUCGCUAGUAAUCGGGGGUCAGCCAUACCCCGGUGAAUAUGUUCCUGGGCCUUGUACACACCGCCCGUCAAGCCAUGGAAGCCGGUAGUGCCCGAAGUCGGCGAGCGAACGCGUUUAGGCGCGGCGCAGCCGCUUGUGGCAAGACCAGUGACUGGGGCUAAGUCGAAACAAGGU
rnacentral:rRNA from 1 species